CCUACGGGAGGCAGCAGUGAGGAAUAUUGGUCAAUGGCCGGAAGGCUGAACCAGCCAAGCCGCGUGAAGGACGACGGUGCCAAGCAUUGUAAACUUCUUUUGUCAGGGAACAAAAUCAGGCUCGUGUACCUGACUGAGGGUACUUGAAGAAAAAGCAUCGGCUAACUCCGUGCCAGCAGCCGCGGUAAUACGGAGGAUGCGAGCGUUAUCCGGAUUUAUUGGGUUUAAAGGGUGCGUAGGCGGGCUGUUAAGUCAGCGGGAAAAGUCUGGGGCCCAACCCCGGCGUGCGGUUGAAACUGGCUGUCUUGAGAAGUCGAGAGGUAGGAGGAAUGCGUGGUGUAGCGGUGAAAUGCUUAGAUAUUACGCAGAACUCCGAUUGCGAAGGCAGCAUACCGGCGGCGAACUGACGCUGAGGCACGAAAGCGUGGGUAUCGAACAGGAUUAGAUACCCCAGUAGUC
rnacentral:rRNA from 1 species